GAUUCGGCAGCAACUAUACAACUUCCGGUUUUCGGAUUUCGCGCUUGUGUCAGUGUCCCCUCACAAUGUCCUUCAAUGUCCCUCACACUAAACCUCAAGGAAAUAGCAAUGUGUUUUAACGACUAUCCUCUUUGCCACCACUACCAAAUUAUGGCUCGUCAUUGAACUCCUAAAAUAAUCUGUCUCCAAGUCAUCAGGAACUAAGGAUUAUUUCUCACAGAGGAGACCAUAACAUAAAAUAUACUGUAUAGUUAUUAAUAUUGCUUUUAUUAAUAUAAUUAUAUUUUUUGUUAUGAACCAUGUAUUUGUUUGACAUCAAGUUGUCAGUAUGAAUGUACAAAAUACUCUGUAUUUAUUAAAUCCCCAUUAAUUCAACUGAGUAAUUACAUACUGGAGUAUCCUGAUGUCAUCCUCUAUUCACUACUGUCAAUGAGCAAUUACAGUUCAAAAGUUUGCAUACCCUUGGAGAAUUUGUAAUAUAUGUAC